rnacentral:rRNA from 1 species
AGUGAACGCUGGCGGUAGGCCUAACACAUGCAAGUCGAACGGCAGCACAGUAAGAGCUUGCUCUUACGGGUGGCGAGUGGCGGACGGGUGAGGCAUACAUCGGAAUCUACUUUUUCGUGGGGGAUAACGUAGGGAAACUUACGCUAAUACCGCAUACGACCUACGGGUGAAAGCAGGGGAUCUUCGGACCUUGCGCGAUUGAAUGAGCCGAUGUCGGAUUAGCUAGUUGGCGUGGUAAAGGCCCACCAAGGCGACGAUCCGUAGCUGGUCUGAGAGGAUGAUCAGCCACACUGGAACUGAGACACGGUCCAGACUCCUACGGGAGGCAGCAGUGGGGAAUAUUGGACAAUGGGCGCAAGCCUGAUCCAGCCAUACCGCGUGAGUGAAGAAGGCCUUCGGGUUGUAAAGCCCUCUUGUUGGGAAAGAAAAGCAGCAGGUUAAUACCCCGCUGUUCUGACGGUACCCAAAGAAUAAGCACCGGCUAACUUCGUG